AUUGAACGCUGGCGGCAUGCCUUACACAUGCAAGUCGAACGGCAGCACGGGGCAACCUGGUGGCGAGUGGCGAACGGGUGAGUAAUGCAUCGGAACGUACCUUUCAGUGGGGGAUAACGUAGCGAAAGUUACGCUAAUACCGCAUAUUCUGUGAGCAGGAAAGCAGGGGAUCGCAAGACCUUGCGCUGAUUGAGCGGCCGAUGUCGGAUUAGCUAGUUGGUGAGGUAAAGGCUCACCAAGGCGACGAUCUGUAGCGGGUCUGAGAGGAUGAUCCGCCACACUGGAACUGAGACACGGUCCAGACUCCUACGGGAGGCAGCAGUGGGGAAUUUUGGACAAUGGGGGCAACCCUGAUCCAGCCAUGCCGCGUGAGUGGAGAAGGCCUUCGGGUUGUAAAGCUCUUUCGGCCGGGAAGAAAUCGCACGGGCUAAUACCCUGUGUGGAUGACGGUACCGGAAUAAGAAGCACCGGCUAACUACGUGCCAGCAGCCGCCGUAAGAC
rnacentral:rRNA from 1 species